CAGUCGAGCGGACUUGAUGGAGAGCUUGCUUCUCCUGAUGGUUAGCGGCGGACGGGUGAGUAACACGUAGGUAACCUGCCUGUAAGACUGGGAUAACUAGCGGAAACGUUAGCUAAUACCGGAUAAUUUAUUUUCUCGCAUGGGAAGAUAAUGAAAGACGGAGCAAUCUGUCACUUAUAGAUGGACCUGCGGCGCAUUAGCUAGUUGGUGGGGUAACGGCUCACCAAGGCGACGAUGCGUAGCCGACCUGAGAGGGUGAACGGCCACACUGGGACUGAGACACGGCCCAGACUCCUACGGGAGGCAGCAGUAGGGAAUCUUCCGCAAUGGACGAAAGUCUGACGGAGCAACGCCGCGUGAGUGAUGAAGGUUUUCGGAUCGUAAAGCUCUGUUGCCAGGGAAGAACGUCCGGUAGAGUAACUGCUAUCGGAGUGACGGUACCUGAGAAGAAAGCCCCGGCUAACUACGUGCCAGCAGCCGCGGUAAUACGUAGGGGGCAAGCGUUGUCCGGAAUUAUUGGGCGUAAAGCGCGCGCAGGCGGCUAUUUAAGUCUGAUGUUUAAUCCUAAGGCUCAACCUUAGGUCGCAUUGGAAACUGGGUAGCUUGAGUGCAGAAGAGGAGAGUGGAAUUCCACGUGUAGCGGUGAAAUGCGUAGAGAUGUGGAGGAACACCAGUGGCGAAGGCGACUCUCUGGGCUGUAACUGACGCUGAGGCGCGAAAGCGUGGGGAGCAAACAGGAUUAUAUACCCUGGGAGUCCACGCCGUAAACGAUGAAUGCUACGUGUUAGGGGUUUCUAUACCCUUGGUGGCGGAAGUUAACACAUUAUGCAUUCCGCCUGGGGAGGAGGGGCGCAAGAAUGAAACUCAAAGAAAUUGACGGGGACCCGCCGCAAUCAUUUGUAUUAUCUGAUUUUAAUUCGAAGCAGCGCGACAAUCUUAACAUGGCGUGGCGUCCGUCUGACCGGUACGGAGAUGUUCCUUUCCUUCGUCCCG
rnacentral:rRNA from 1 species